UAAAUUUACACCCAGUUAGUUGUUCACUUUUCCAAGUGAAAUGAGGUAUUCUGUUUCCAAGUCUGAAUGAGGUAUUCCUCAAUACAUUAAUGUAGCUACCGUGAAGAUUCCACCGGAAAACUCACACUCAAACAACAGGAAAAAUAUUUGUUAUAGAUGCUACAGCUGUGGAAGCCUACAAUAUGUAUUAGAAAUGAUUCCAGAAAAUUCAGAGGGGUAGUCAAACUAAUGCCAAAUAUAUCACUUGUGCAAAUUUGUGGUCAUGACAAUCAUGUUAGUGAACAGAGAUUUAUCUUUUGUGUUUGUUUUGGGAGUUUAUCCCAAAUGAUUUUUUAUAUGACAAAGUCUUCUAGGGAAGAACAAACCUGUUAUAUAAAGCUUCUUCUUUUUGAGUGCUUGUUUUCCUU
rnacentral:lncRNA from 1 species